rnacentral:rRNA from 1 species
UGUGUAGGUGGUGUGAUUAGUCGGGUGUUAAAACUUCAGGCUCAACCUGAAGAUCGCAUUCGAAACGGUCACACUAGAGGAAGUGAGGGGUGUGUGGAACUCAUGGUGUAGGGGUGAAAUCCGUUGAUAUCAUGGGGAACACCAAAAGCGAAGGCAACACACUGGCACUUUCCUGACACUGAGACACGAAAGCGUGGGUAGCGAACG